AUACGGAGGGUGCGAGCGUUAAUCGGAAUUACUGGGCGUAAAGCGUGCGUAGGCGGUUUGUUAAGUCAGAAGUGAAAGCCCCGGGCUCAACCUGGGAACGGCUUUUGAGACUGGCAGACUCGAGUUGAGUAGAGGGGAGUGGAAUUUCCGGUGUAGCGGUGAAAUGCGUAGAGAUCGGAAGGAACACCAGUGGCGAAGGCGACUCCCCGGACUCAAACUGACGCUGAGGUACGAAAGCGUGGGUAGCAAACAGGAUUAGAUACCCCAGUAGUCC
rnacentral:rRNA from 1 species